GGCCAGUAAGCUCAGCUGGUUUACAGCGUGGUGCUUAAGAACGCCAAAGUUCUGGGUUCAAUCCCCAUAAUGGCCA
rnacentral:tRNA from 1 species